rnacentral:rRNA from 1 species
UACGUAGGUGGCAAGCGUUAUCCGGAUUUACUGGGUGUAAAGGGUGCGUAGACGGAGAAACAAGUUGGUUGUGAAAUCCCUCGGCUCAACUGAGGAACUGCAACCAAAACUAUUUCCCUUGAGUGUCGGAGAGGAAAGUGGAAUUCCUAGUGUAGCGGUGAAAUGCGUAGAUAUUAGGAGGAACACCGGUGGCGAAGGCGACUUUCUGGACGAUAACUGACGUUGAGGCACGAAAGUGUGGGGAGCAAACAGG